rnacentral:rRNA from 1 species
AUUCCUACGGGAGGCAGCAGUGAGGAAUAUUGGUCAAUGGACGAGAGUCUGAACCAGCCAAGUAGCGUGAAGGAUGACUGCCCUAUGGGUUGUAAACUUCUUUUAUAAGGGAAUAAAGUGAGGGACGUGUCCCUUUUUGUAUGUACCUUAUGAAUAAGGAUCGGCUAACUCCGUGCCAGCAGCCGCGGUAAUACGGAGGAUCCAAGCGUUAUCCGGAUUUAUUGGGUUUAAAGGGAGCGUAGGUUGACAUAUAAGUCAGCUGUGAAAGUUUACGGCUCAACCGUGAAAUUGCAGUUGAUACUGUAUGUCUUGAGUGUACAAGAGGUGGGCGGAAUUCGUGGUGUAGCGGUGAAAUGCUUAGAUAUCACGAAGAACUCCAAUUGCGAAGGCAGCUCACUGGGGUACAACUGACACUGAGGCUCGAAAGUGCGGGUAUCAAACAGGAUUAGAUACCCUGGUAGUCCACACAGUAAACGAUGAAUACUCGCUGUUUGCGAUAUACAGUAAGCGGCCAAGCGAAAGCAUUAAGUAUUCCACCUGGGGAGUACGCCGGCAACGGUGAAACUCAAAGGAAUUGACGGAAU